GAACCUGCCUCAAAGAGGGGGACAACAGUUGGAAACGACUGCUAAUACCGCAUAAGCCCACGGUGCCGCAUGGCACAGAGGGAAAAGGAGCAAUCCGCUUUGAGAUGGCCUCGCGUCCGAUUAGCUAGUUGGUGAGGUAACGGCCCACCAAGGCGACGAUCGGUAGCCGGACUGAGAGGUUGAACGGCCACAUUGGGACUGAGACACGGCCCAGACUCCUACGGGAGGCAGCAGUGGGGAAUAUUGCACAAUGGGGGAAACCCUGAUGCAGCGACGCCGCGUGGAGGAAGAAGGUCUUCGGAUUGUAAACUCCUGUUGUUGGGGAAGAUAAUGACGGUACCCAACAAGGAAGUGACGGCUAACUACGUGCCAGCAGCCGCGGUAAAACGUAGGUCACAAGCGUUGUCCGGAAUUACUGGGUGUAAAGGGAGCGCAGGCGGGAAGAUAAGUUGGAAGUGAAAUCUAUGGGCUCAACCCAUAAACUGCUUUCAAAACUGUUUUUCUUGAGUAGUGCAGAGGUAGGCGGAAUUCCCGGUGUAGCGGUGGAAUGCGUAGAUAUCGGGAGGAACACCAGUGGCGAAGGCGGCCUACUGGGCACCAACUGACGCUGAGGCUCGAAAGUGUUGGUAGCAAACAGGAUUAGAUACCCUGGUAGUCCACACCGUAAACGAUGAUUACUAGGUG
rnacentral:rRNA from 1 species